UACGAAGGGUGCAAGCGUUGUUCGGAUUUAUUGGGCGUAAAGCGCGCGCAGGCGGAUUUUUAAGUCAGGUGUGAAAUCUCGAGGCUUAACCUCGAAACAGCGCCUGAAACUGGAAGUCUUGAAUGCUGGAGAGGGAAGGGGAAUUUCUCGUGUAGGGGUAAAAUCCGUAGAUAUGAGAAGGAACACCAGAGGCGAAGGCGCCUUCCUGGCCAGAUAUUGACGCUGAGGCGCGAAAGCGUGGGGAGCAAACAGG
rnacentral:rRNA from 1 species